rnacentral:rRNA from 1 species
UACCAGACUCCUACGGGAGGCAGCAGUGGGGAAUAUUGCACAAUGGGGGAAACCCUGAUGCAGCGACGCCGCGUGAGCGAUGAAGUAUUUCGGUAUGUAAAGCUCUAUCAGCAGGGAAGAAAAUGACGGUACCUGACUAAGAAGCCCCGGCUAACUACGUGCCAGCAGCCGCGGUAAUACGUAGGGGGCAAGCGUUAUCCGGAUUUACUGGGUGUAAAGGGAGCGUAGACGGCUGUGCAAGCCAGAUGUGAAAGCCCGGGGCUCAACCCCGGGACUGCAUUUGGAACUGCGUGGCUUGAGUGUCGGAGAGGCAGGCGGAAUUCCUAGUGUAGCGGUGAAAUGCGUAGAUAUUAGGAGGAACACCAGUGGCGAAGGCGGCCUGCUGGACGAUGACUGACGCUGAGGCACGAAAGCGUGGGGAGCGAACAGGAUUAGAUACCCGUGUAAG